rnacentral:lncRNA from 1 species
AUAUUAAAUAAUUUCGGUUGGAAUAAAUACCUACGUGCCGGCCUAAAAAAUCAUAGUUUACUCGUGUGUUAGACAUUGUGGAAGACGAAUCUGCGAUCUUAUAAGGUAAGUGAUCUGUACGGAUUUUUAAAAUUCUUUUUUCUUGCAUUUUACUUGUAUUUGAAAAUAUAAUUUUGUGUUCGGAGUAGUCUGUAAGGUUUGAAUUUUGUGCUUUGAGUCGCAUUUUUACGUUUUGGCUUUGUUUUUACAAUAAAUAGAGCACCCCGAAAUUACCAACAACCUAAAAUAAAGUGUUGGUAAUUUCAGCGGUAUUGCCGAAAUUUACCGCUACACCAGUUUAUAUUAGGAUUUAUUUAUUUAGUUUAAUUGUCAGCAAAAAA